AGGUGCUCGCUUCUUAGAGGGACKUUCGGUGACUAACCGAAGGAAGUUGGGGGCAAUAACAGGUCUGUGAUGCCCUUAGNNGUCCUGGGCCGCACGCGCGCUACACUGAUGCAUGCAACGAGUUCUUUCUUUUCCUGGGUCGAGAGGCCCGGGUAAUCUGUUGAACGUGCAUCGUGAUAGGGAUAGAUCAUUGCAAUUAUUGAUCUUGAACGAGGAAUUCCUAGUAAACGCNNGUCAUCAGCUCGCAUUGAUUACGUCCCUGCCCUUUGUACACACCGCCCGUCGCACCUACCGAUUGAAUGUUUCGGUGAAGAUUCCG
rnacentral:rRNA from 1 species